GAUGAACGCUGGCGGCGUGCCUAAUACAUGCAAGUCGAGCGAACAGACGAGGAGCUUGCUCCUCUGACGUUAGCGGCGGACGGGUGAGUAACACGUGGAUAACCUACCUAUAAGACUGGGAUAACUUCGGGAAACCGGAGCUAAUACCGGAUAACAUGUUGAACCGCAUGGUUCAACAGUGAAAGACGGUCUUGCUGUCACUUAUAGAUGGAUCCGCGCCGCAUUAGCUAGUUGGUAAGGUAACGGCUUACCAAGGCAACGAUGCGUAGCCGACCUGAGAGGGUGAUCGGCCACACUGGAACCGAGACACGGUCCAGACUCCUACGGGAGGCAGCAGUAGGGAAUCUUCCGCAAUGGGCGAAAGCCUGACGGAGCAACGCCGCGUGAGUGAUGAAGGUCUUCGGAUCGUAAAACUCUGUUAUUAGGGAAGAACAAAUGUGUAAGUAACUAUGCACGUCUUGACGGUACCUAAUCAGAAAGCCACGGCUAACUACGUG
rnacentral:rRNA from 1 species